GCGGCGGGCUGGAUAUUUCCGGCCGCAAUCCCGCAGGUGCCGGGCUCGGCAACCUGCUGAAGCGGUGCGUCCGCUGGCUCAGCCAAUGCAGCCCCUACGAUCUCGCCUCCUGCGCCGCGCUGGCCGCGCUUGUUGCCCUCGCGAUCUGGACUUUUCAGGACUAUGCGAUCUCCAACGACGAAGGCGUGCAGCACCGCUACGCCGAACUGAUUGUCGCCUA
rnacentral:misc_RNA from 1 species